rnacentral:rRNA from 1 species
AGCAGCCGCGGUAAUUCCAGCUCCAAUAGCGUAUAUUAAAGUUGUUGCAGUUAAAAAGCUCGUAGUUGAAUUUCGGGAUCAAUACGUCUGUCGUGCCUUUGGUACGUACGGGUGUAAUUGGUUUCUACCUUCUGAGGAUCCUUGAUGUCAUUAAUUUGGUGUCUUGGGGAAUCAGGACUGUUACCUUGAAAAAAUUAGAGUGUUUAAAGCAGGCAUACGCUUGAAUACAUUAGCAUGGAAUAAUGAAAUAGGACGUUCGAUUCUAUUUUGUUGGUUUCUAGGAUCGACGUAAUGAUUAAUAGGGAUAGUUGGGGGCAUUAGUAUUCAAUUGUCAGAGGUGAAAUUCUUGGAUUUAUUGAAGACUAACUACUGCGAAAGCAUUUGCCAAGGAUGUUUUCAUUAAUCAAGAACGAAAGUUAGGGGAUCGAAGACGAUCAGAUACCGUCGUAGUCUUAACCAUAAACUAUGCCGACUAGGGAUCGGAUGAUGUUAAUUUUUAAUGACUCAUUCGGCGCCUUAC